AAAAACUUAGGAUUAACCAAACCAAGAGCCUUCAAAGCUCAAAACAGGAGUGAAAACCCCCUAGUUUUUG
rnacentral:tRNA from 1 species